UUCAUCAAAUUCCACUUAUGUUUCAUGUUUUCUUUCAACAAUCUGUAGUUAAUCACUAAGACAAUGUGUUAGGAGUUUUAAGAUUUUAUUUUCAAAAGUAAAACAACUUUUAAACUUGAAAUCUAACUCAAAAUCAUCACUAUGCUCUGCAAGCACAGCUACUGUGAGUUACAGAGAAGAAUUCUUAAAUUUCCAACAUUUU
rnacentral:lncRNA from 1 species